rnacentral:rRNA from 1 species
UACGAAGGGGGCUAGCGUUGCUCGGAAUUACUGGGCGUAAAGCGCACGUAGGCGGCUUUCUAAGUCGGGGGUGAAAUCCUGGAGCUCAACUCCAGAACUGCCUUCGAUACUGGAAAGCUCGAGUCCGGGAGAGGUGAGUGGAACUGCGAGUGUAGAGGUGAAAUUCGUAGAUAUUCGAAGAACACCAGUGGCGAAGGCGGCUCACUGGCCCGGUACUGACGCUGAGGUGCGAAAGCGUGGGGAGCAAACAGG